GUAGCUGUGUCAGUCCCAGGAUAUUAGAGAGACAAAGUGGGUGAGGUAAUAUCUUUUAUUGGACCAACGUCUGCUCAUGAGAGAGACAAGCUUUCAAGCCUCACAGAACUCUUCUGGGAAAGAGUAACAGCCGUGUUAGUCUGUAUUCGCAA